ensembl:snRNA U4 U4 spliceosomal RNA
AGCUUUGCGCAGUGGCAGUAUCAUAGCUAAUGAAGUUAUUCUGAGGCGUGACUAGUUGAAAACUUUUCCCAAUACCCUGCUAUGACGACUUGAAAUAUAGUUGGCAUGGGCAAUUUUUGACAGUCUCAUGUGAGA